AGAAUAUGACUCAUGCCUUUAUUCCCAUUUUUUUUCAAAACUUGUCUCUACAAUGGACCACUGUGUCACAAUUACAGAAGGAUUUAUGGAACAGAAGCAUUCUUGACAAACUGCACUCCCAAACUUCCCUGUCUAUUUAGUCACUGUUUAUAAACACAUGAAGGACGGCCUUGUUAUUGGCGUGUAGUGCAUUGGAAUGAAAGUUCUCUGUGAACAAAUUCUAAGAUGGAAGAAUAUGGUUUGUGGGGGUUCCCCCUACAAUGAACACAGACUCCAAAAGGUUAAAUAACUCAUCCUAAACUCAUGUUGCUGGAAGAGGCAAAGCAAACAAUGGAGAUGGAGUUGUUGCUAUUAUGGCUAACCUACAAAUAAAUAAGUUUCUCUCUGCUCCUAUGCAUCCACCUUUGGAGAAGUGACAUCAGCCCUUCAGACACAAGUGUAAACCCGUCCCAAAGAAGCCUGAAUGAGACUGUGAAAAUACAUGUUGGAAGAAACAACAUCCCAGAUGAGACAUCACAUCUUUGCUCCAGUCAGUGUUUGCCUCACCACAG